GAGUAACACGUGGGUAACCUACCCUUAAGUGGGGGAUAACAUUUGGAAACAGAUGCUAAUACCGCAUAACCAUUCAGACCACAUGGUCUGAAUGUAAAAGACGGCCUUUGGCUGUCACUUUUGGACGGACCCGCGGCGUAUUAGUUAGUUGGUAAGGUAACGGCUUACCAAGACAAUGAUACGUAGCCGACCUGAGAGGGUAAUCGGCCACAUUGGGACUGAGACACGGCCCAAACUCCUACGGGAGGCAGCAGUAGGGAAUCUUCCACAAUGGACGAAAGUCUGAUGGAGCAACGCCGCGUGAGUGAAGAAGGUUUUAGGAUCGUAAAACUCUGUUGUUGGAGAAGAACAGGGACUAGAGUAACUGUUAGUCCUUUGACGGUAUCCAACCAGAAAGCCACGGCUAACUACGUGCCAGCAGCCGCGGUAAUACGUAGGUGGCAAGCGUUGUCCGGAUUUAUUGGGCGUAAAGCGAGCGCAGGCGGUUUUUUAAGUCUGAUGUGAAAGCCUUCGGCUUAACCGAAGAAGUGCAUUAGAAACUGGGAAACUUGAGUGCAGAAGAGGACAGUGGAACUCCAUGUGUAGCGGUGAAAUGCGUAGAUAUAUGGAAGAACACCAGUGGCGAAGGCGGCUGUCUGGUCUGUAACUGACGCUGAGGCUCGAAAGUAUGGGGAGCGAACAGGAUUAGAUACCCUGGUAGUCCAUACCGUAAACGAUGAAUGCUAAGUGUUGGAGGGUUUCCGCCCUUCAGUGCUGCAGCUAACGCAUUAAGCAUUCCGCCUGGGGAGUACGACCGCAAGGUUGAAACUCAAAGGAAUUGACGGGGGCCCG
rnacentral:rRNA from 1 species